GCUCCGGUGGUGCAGUGGUAGCAUGCACCCUCAAUAUGGGUGAACACGGGUUCAACUACCGUUUGGAGGU